GUAGGUAACCUGCCUUGUAGCGGGGGAUAACUAUUGGAAACGAUAGCUAAUACCGCAUAACAAUGGAUGACACAUGUCAUUUUAUUUUGAAAGGGGCAAUUGCUCCACUACAAGAUGGACCUGCGUUGUAUUAGCUAGUAGGUGAGGUAAUGGCUCACCUAGGCGACGAUACAUAGCCGACCUGAGAGGGUGAUCGGCCACACUGGGACUGAGACACGGCCCAGACUCCUACGGGAGGCAGCAUG
rnacentral:rRNA from 1 species